AGAGGGUGCAAGCGUUAAUCGGAAUAACUGGGCGUAAAGGGCGCGUAGGCGGACAGACAUGUCAUAGGUGAAAUCCCCGGGCUUAACCUGGGAACUGCCUAUGAAACUGUUUGACUAGAAUAUAGGAGAGGGAAGUGGAAUUUCCGGUGUAGCGGUGAAAUGCGUAGAUAUCGGAAGGAACACCAGUGGCGAAGGCGGCUUUCUGGCCUAAUAUUGACGCUGAGGCGCGAAAGCGAGGGUAGCAAACAGGGAUUAGAUACCCUGGUAGUCCACGCCGUAAACGAUGAGAACUAGAUGCUUGGAGGCAUGACUUCUGAGUAUCGAAGCAAACGCGUUAAGUUCUCCGCCUGGGAGUACGACCGCAAGGUUA
rnacentral:rRNA from 1 species